ACAGCUUCAAUCCAAUAACAAGAAAAAAUCUGCUAUAGAGAUGUUAGAGUAAAUGCAUUUUGACAAUUCCAUACCUUUGAAAGAUGACAUUUGUUGACAUAAAUUAAUACUUAGUAAAAUACAGCAAUAAAAGAACAGUUCCUUGAACAAUUCUGAUCUUCAUUCUAAAGUUCAAAAUGAUUCAAGUGAGCUAUAGUUCUGUAUCCCUUGAGCUAGGUUAUUGUCAAGAACCAUUCUUUCUACGAAUGAACACUUGGUGAACAGUCUGACCUAAACAUCCCCUCACUCUAAAAACUAGAUCAGUUACUUAACACAUGUCAUAUCUCUAAUCUAUGUAGGUCUAUAUAUUACUGGUAAAAAUGUCACUCAUUAAACAAAUGUAACAAAAAUAUAUAAUAAAAAAUAUCAUAAUUAGACAGACAAUAAUGUGUAUGACAAAAUUACAAAACAAUUAUACUCUAGUAAAUAUAUUCAUAUUUUUAUUAUAGUAAAUCAAAGCGUGUCUGACAGCAUUUUUCUUUCACCUAACCAUGUUUAUUUUAUUUUAGAUCAUGUCUUGUGUGUGACUUUUUGGAAACAGGUAAUAUCCCCUGAAAUUAUUAAAUUGAUUGGCCGUCAAGACUUAUUUUUUCAUUCAUGGAAAGGUUAUUUCAUUUUUAGGGACAAAGAUACAAAUGUUGACAGUAAAUUGAUAUUAUUUCUGUCCCUGCCAAUAGAUAUAUGACAUACCUUGACACUGAUGUCUGUUCUUUAGUAUUUUUAUUUUAAUGAAAUGUAUCACUUGUUUUCACUUUCCUUGCAAUUCCUUCAAAUAUGUAACUUAUUUUUAUUCAGUUGUAAUCCAAUAAUGAGUAGCAGAUCAAGUUUGGAUUUUGGUUUUGACAAACACCUCUCCAACAAAAUUAUGAGUUAUUGAUUUAGAAAACUUUAUAUUAUUCCAACUUCUUUUUCACUAUGCUUUGCAUCUUGAACUAAUUUAGUUUAGUAUAUUGACCAGUUACAGACCAACUAUGUAUUUCAUACCUAUGACUAAAACUUGAUCAGGUGAGGUUUUGAUUUCAUGAAUUUCUGUCUAUCUAAAUUAAUCUUACCACACCUAAUUAAACAUAAUACUUUAGCAAUCAGAGCGUAUUCUCAAUACAAUGCAAUAAAAUAUAUACUAUAUAUUCAUUGGAAAAACAAUUUAAUUCAUGUAGUGAAAUAUGCAAUAUAAUGAAAAAAACUACUCCACAAGAAAUGUGUAGUGUAUCUACAAAACCAUAUCAACAUGUACAUACCAAAUCACUAAAAAUUGUUAUAAAU
rnacentral:lncRNA from 1 species